UACGUAGGGUGCGAGCGUUGUCCGGAAUUAUUGGGCGUAAAGAGCUCGUAGGCGGUCUGUCGCGUCUGCUGUGAAAUCCCGAGGCUCAACCUCGGGCUUGCAGUGGGUACGGGCAGGCUAGAGUGCGGUAGGGGAGAAUGGAACUCCUGGUGUAGCGGUGGAAUGCGCAGAUAUCAGGAAGAACACCGAUGGCGAAGGCAGUUCUCUGGGCCGUAACUGACGCUGAGGAACGAAAGCGUGGGUAGCGAACAGG
rnacentral:rRNA from 1 species